rnacentral:rRNA from 1 species
CCUACGGGUGGCAGCAGUGAGGAAUAUUGGUCAAUGGCCGGAAGGCUGAACCAGCCAUGCCGCGUGAAUGAUGAAGGUUUUCGGAUUGUAAACUUCUGUCGCGAGGGACGAAGAAUGACGGUACCUCGUAAGAAAGCCCCGGCUAACUACGGGCCAGCAGCCGCGGUAAUACGUAGGGGGCAAGCGUUGUCCGGAAUGACUGGGCGUAAAGGGAGUGUAGGCGGCCUUGUAAGUUAGGUGGGAAAUCCUACGGCUUAACCGUAGAACUGCAUCUAAAACUGAGAGGCUGGAGUGCAGGAGAGGUGAGUGGAAUUCCUAGUGUAGCGGUGGAAUGCGUAGAUAUUAGGAGGAACACCAGAGGCGAAGGCGACUCACUGGACUGUAACUGACGCUGAGGCUCGAAAGCGUGGGGAGCAAACAGGAUUAGAUACCCUUGUAGUC